GACGAACGCUGGCGGCGUGCUUAACACAUGCAAGUCGAACGGAAAGGCCCUGCUUGCAGGGUACUCGAGUGGCGAACGGGUGAGUAACACGUGGGUGAUCUGCCCUGCACUUCGGGAUAAGCCUGGGAAACUGGGUCUAAUUCCGGAUAGGAGCCAUUUUUAGUGUGAUGGUUGGAAAGUUUUUUCGGUGUAGGAUGAGCUCGCGGCCUAUCAGCUUGUUGGUGGGGUAAUGGCCUACCAAGGCGGCGACGGGUAGCCGGCCUGAGAGGGUGGACGGCCACAUUGGGACUGAGAUACGGCCCAGACUCCGACGGGAGGCAGCAGUGGGGAAUAUUGCACAAUGGGCGCAAGCCUGAUGCAGCGACGCCGCGUGGGGGAUGACGGCCUUCGGGUUGUAAACGCCUUUCGCUAGGGACGAAGCUUUUUGUGACGGUACCUAGAGAAGAAGCACCGGCUAACUACGUG
rnacentral:rRNA from 1 species